GAGUUCCGGGGGCCAGGCGGUCGCCGCGAGUCUGGUAUCCUGAGCUUCGUGAGUUGAGCGCUGCUGCUCCGCAGUGGAGUCACCACGUCGCUCCCAUGAUCAUGGUGUUCUACUUCACCAGGAGCAGCGUUAAUUCAUCUGCCUACACUAUUUACAUGGGAAAAGAUAAAUAUGAAAAUGAAGAUCUGAUCAAGCAUGGCUGGCCUGAAGAUAUCUGGUUUCAUGUGGACAAACUCUCUUCAGCUCAUGUAUACCUUCGAUUACAUAAGGGAGAGAAUAUAGAAGACAUUCCAAAGGAAGUGCUGAUGGACUGUGCCCACCUUGUGAAGGCCAAUAGCAUUGAAGGCUGCAAGAUGAACAACGUUAAUGUGGUAUAUACUCUGUGAUCUAACCUGAAGAAAACAGCUGACAUGGAUGUGGGGCAGAUAGGCUUUCACAGGCAGAAGGAUGUAAAAAUUGUGACAGUAGAGAAGAAAGUAAACGAGAUCGUGAGCCGAUUAGAAAAGACUAAAGUGGAGCGGUUCCCAGACCUAGCAGCAGAGAAAGAAUGCAGAGAUCGUGAAGAAAGGAAUGAGAAAAAAACCCAAAUUCAGGAAAUGAAAAGGAGAGAAAAAGAAGAAAUGAAGAAGAAGAGGGAAAUGGAUGAACUUAGGAGCUAUUCAUCACUAAUGAAAGUUGAAAAUAUGUCUUCAAAUCAGGAUGGCAAUGAUUCAGAUGCAUCAUGUAAAAGGAGGAAAGGACCUUUGAAAGAUGUGAAUGUAGAGACAAUUGCAGACCUUUUGGUUUCAUCCGUGUUCUGAAGUAUAAAAUACAACCAAAAUUCUACCCUCAUCCUACCCAGAAAUUAUAGAUUUUCAAGUUUUAAAAAAAUUGUACCUUUUUUGCUGACAGAAAAGCAUCAGAUAUGUAUAAAAUAGUUGAACUUGACAGCAUACAACCUAAGCUGAAAAUGUUUUUGCCAGAACAUGUCUUGGUACCUUGUGAAAGCAGGCUGCCCUUGUUCUUGAGAUAGACUUUAAAAUGAACCAACUCUGAAAAGUACUUCUGUUGCUCUGAUCUAUCCCUGAAAACAGAUGUCUUGAAACACUUUUCAUAUUCUUAAAACAAUCUUCACUUCUGUUAAGAAGAACAUGUUGGUGGGUAAUUAUACAAAUGUUUUCCUGUCCCUGAUCUCCCGAUUAGAAAAAAGGGCGUAUGGGUUUUGAAAAAGAGAUUUUUCAGAAGAUUGUAAGCUUCAAUAUUCACGUUCCAUCAUGUCAUCUGGGUGUGUUAGUAUAGUGACCCUCAACGCACUCUAUCUCAGCUUUUAUGUCCUUGCUUCCUCUGAGCAGGAGCCUCCAUCUUAGUAUCAUCAUAUUUAAAGAAAUUGAUGGUGUUCAUCAAUGUGGGGCCUGUGGCAGUUGUUGCCUGAGCACCAAGUAACCCAAGCCACCUGUGUGACAACUUCUGGGCCCAGGAGUAAUUUCUCAGCAUUGAGGGUAAAAUAGGAUGGAGUGCUCUGUUGAUCAUUUGGGAGAUGUAGGCUACCUGAUUUGUGCCUUGGGAUGCAGCGUGAAGCAGAAGUCCAUUUUGCAAUCAUGAGUUUAGAA